rnacentral:lncRNA from 1 species
CAAACUGGCAAGUGGCAGCAGGAAGGCACAGAGGCAGAGGAGGGAGUGGGAGGGAGGAGGAUGCUGAGCUGUCUGAGGCCUGGGAAAUGAGGGCUGUGGGAAGGAACCGUCCUCGUGGGCUGAGCGGGCAGUCACAGUGGGUGGCAUGGAGAGUGUGCAGGAGGCCACUCGGAGGCCUGUGGCCGGCCCCAAACCUGUGUUUCCUCCUGGGGGAGGAAGCAGAUGAGAAGAAGCAGGCCUGGCAACCAUGCCGAGAUGCCACUGGCAUGUCCCAGCACCCACACAGCCAGGCUCGGGCUGGGGUUCCCCAGGAAGGACCAUCAAUCUUCUCGCCCACCUAAGGUAUCUGACCGGGACAGGAGGGCAUCAGAGAUCCGCCCGUGCUGAGUAGGAAGCAAAGCUGCAGGACGCCC